GUGCGUGUAACAUCACUUCUUCACGCAGUGUCAUAGGAAAGUGGGUUCCUGGACCCCAGGUUAAGAGCCUAAGCACUAAAGGCACAGAGCUAGAGCUCUAGGAGGGGAGGGAUGGCUGGGGUGGAACCUCGUCUUGUCAUUUAGUCCUGGGGCCUUUUCACUCCUUACAUGGUGGGUGGUGGGCGUCUGGCAGGUGCCGAUGUUGAUGGAGUCAAGGGAGGGAACUAGCCGGGACAGGGAAAAACAGGGUUGGAGAGAUAAUUAAGGUGGACAUUAUUUUUUCUGAGCGUAAGUCGUGGCUGGAAAUCUGGAGAGCCUGAAAGAGUAUCCCCCUACCCAAACCUGUUUUUUCCUUUUCCCUCAAGCCUCAUUUGGCCACAGGCCCAGUGUCAACACCAGGGGGCGCCACAGACCAUGAAGGCACCGUGCAGCUGGGAUUGUUUGUGGUCGGCUACUGGGUCCCUGACUUAACCAGGGGAGCCAAGACCCUGUAGCCAAGUGGCCUGGAUUCAACCUGCAGCUCAGGUCUUACUGACACUUCUCCCCCUGGUGCCUCAGUUUCUUAAUCUGUGAAAUGGUGAGGACAUUACAGCAUUUACCUCUGGGGCGGGUUUCUCAACAGCAGCACUAUUAACAAUUUGGGACAGAGAAUCUUGUGGAGUGGUCUGUCCUGUGCAUUGUGGGAGGUUUGCCAGCAACACCCCACUCACCCCCUCCCACCAAUCCCCAUGUGACAACCGAAAAUGUCCCAGGAUUUUUAGGUCUCCCUUGGGUCUAGAAGCUGCACUUAGGCAUUUUCCCACCUGACACUUGAGUUCAUCUCUGCUUUGGUCCACAUAAGGCCACUUUAAAAAAAUGUUGUUUCUUUAAAGAUUCUAACCAUCUUUUAAACAAAUCCAUUUUCUUCCUCUAUUUCUGCAUUCAGUUAAUCCUUCCAAACCCUUUGUUUAGUAUAUCUUGAAAUGUAUCAAUUCCUGUUCUAGUAAUUAACAUAUGUGACUUGCAUGAUAUCUGCUAUGACCCCUAGUAGAGCUCUGAUUCCUUUAGCACAGGGAAUGUGUUCUCGAUUCUGCUCUGGAUGAUGUAAAUCAAUUUAUUUUACUUUACUUGUCUGGGAUGUUGCUCCUCAUCUGUAAGAUGUAAAUGUGGAUAUGGCUUGGAUUACUAAGUGGUUUUAUUUCUUAAUUCACCUGACAUUUGUUGUGUGCCUGCUGCAAGUCAAAUACAUGGCAUGGUAUUGUUUCCUUGUUCACACCACAGCAAAUGAGAAAAUGAGACAUUAUAGCCAGGUGUGGCGGCACAGGCUUGUGGUCCUAGCUACUCGGAAGGCUGAGGCAGGAGAAUUGCUCCAGCCCAGGAGUUUGAGGUUACAGUAAGGUAUGAUAUCACCAUUGCAUUUCAACCUGGGCAACAGACCCUGUCUCUGAAAAAAGGGAAAAAGACCUUGUGAGCUGUCUACGUGUACUCUAUGUCUCAGGAGACUCAUAUCCUGUAAUUUUUCUAAAUGGCGUCUCCAUGUGGUCUUUCAUGAAUGUUUGUCUGGUAUUCUCUAUCCUUUUACUUUCAACUUUUCUUUACCUUCUACUGAAAUUAUGUCUUUUGUAAACAGCCCAUGAUUAUUUAUUUAGUUAUUUAUUUUUACCCCCCUGCACUAUUUGUCUUGUAAUUGGAGUGUCUGAGUCCAUUAUGUUUAAUGUAAUUAUUGACCUCAUUGGGUUUAAGUCUGUCCAUUGUCAUUUGCUGCCUUCUAAUAUUAUCUCUUUCUUGCUCAACUAUUUUUCUUAUGUUACCUUCUUUAGAUGAAUAAAAACCUUUGCAUUAU
rnacentral:lncRNA from 1 species